GAUGAACGCUGGCGGCGUGCCUAACACAUGCAAGUCGAACGGACAUUUUUUGGAAAGCUCUUCGGAACUGGAAUCUAAAUGUUAGUGGCGGACGGGUGAGUAACGCGUGAGCAAUCUGCCUUUCAGAGGGGGAUAACAGCCGGAAACGGCUGCUAAUACCGCAUAAUGCAUUGGAUUCGCAUGUUUCUGAUGCCAAAGAUUUUAUCGCUGAAAGAUGAGCUCGCGUCUGAUUAGCUAGUUGGUGGGGUAAUGGCCUACCAAGGCGUCGACGGGUAGCCGGCCUGAGAGGGUGUACGGCCACAUUGGGACUGAGAUACGGCCCAG
rnacentral:rRNA from 1 species